rnacentral:rRNA from 1 species
ACUAAGCGUACACGGUGGAUGCCCUGGCAGUCAGAGGCGAUGAAGGACGUGCUAAUCUGCGAUAAGCGUCGGUAAGGUGAUAUGAACCGUUAUAACCGGCGAUUUCCGAAUGGGGAAACCCAGUGUGUUUCGACACACUAUCAUUAACUGAAUCCAUAGGUUAAUGAGGCGAACCGGGGAACUGAAACAUCUAAGUACCCGAGGAAAAGAAAUCAACCGAGAUUCCCCCAGUAGCGGCGAGCGAACGGGGAGCAGCCCAGAGCCUGAAUCAGUGUGUGUGUUAGUGGAAGCGUCUGGAAAGGCGCGCGAUACAGGGUGACAGCCCCGUACACAAAAAUGCACAUGCUGUGAGCUCGAUGAGUAGGGCGGGACACGUGGUAUCCUGUCUGAAUAUGGGGGACCAUCCUCCAAGGCUAAAUACUCCUGACUGACCGAUAGUGAACCAGUACCGUGAGGGAAAGGCGAAAAGAACCCCGGCGAGGGGAGUGAAAAAGAACCUGAAACCGUGUACGUACAAGCAGUGGGAGCCUCUUUAUGGGUGACUGCGUACCUUUUGUAUAAUGGGUCAGCGACUUAUAUUCUGUAGCAAGGUUAACCGAAUAGGGGAGCCGAAGGGAAACCGAGUCUUAACUGGGCGUUAAGUUGCAGGGUAUAGACCCGAAACCCGGUGAUCUAGCCAUGGGCAGGUUGAAGGUUGGGUAACACUAACUGGAGGACCGAACCGACUAAUGUUGAAAAAUUAGCGGAUGACUUGUGGCUGGGGUGAAAGGCCAAUCAAACCGGGAGAUAGCUGGUUCUCCCCGAAAGCUAUUUAGGUAGCGCCUCGUGAAUUCAUCUCCGGGGUAGAGCACUGUUUCGGCAAGGGGUCAUCCCGACUUACCAACCCGAUGCAAACUGCGAAUACCGGAGAAUGUUAUCACGGGAGACACACGGCGGGUGCUAACGUCCGUCGUGAAGAGGGAAACAACCCAGACCGCCAGCUAAGGUCCCAAAGUCAUGGUUAAGUGGGAAACGAUGUGGGAAGGCCCAGACAGCCAGGAUGUUGGCUUAGAAGCAGCCAUCAUUUAAAGAAAGCGUAAUAGCUCACUGGUCGAGUCGGCCUGCGCGGAAGAUGUAACGGGGCUAAACCAUGCACCGAAGCUGCGGCAGCGACGCUUAUGCGUUGUUGGGUAGGGGAGCGUUCUGUAAGCCUGUGAAGGUGUGCUGUGAGGCAUGCUGGAGGUAUCAGAAGUGCGAAUGCUGACAUAAGUAACGAUAAAGCGGGUGAAAAGCCCGCUCGCCGGAAGACCAAGGGUUCCUGUCCAACGUUAAUCGGGGCAGGGUGAGUCGACCCCUAAGGCGAGGCCGAAAGGCGUAGUCGAUGGGAAACAGGUUAAUAUUCCUGUACUUGGUGUUACUGCGAAGGGGGACGGAGAAGGCUAUGUUGGCCGGGCGACGGUUGUCCCGGUUUAAGCGUGUAGGCUGAUUUUCCAGGCAAAUCCGGAAAAUCAAGGCUGAGGCGUGAUGACGAGGCACUACGGUGCUGAAGCAACAAAUGCCCUGCUUCCAGGAAAAGCCUCUAAGCAUCAGGUAACAUCAAAUCGUACCCCAAACCGACACAGGUGGUCAGGUAGAGAAUACCAAGGCGCUUGAGAGAACUCGGGUGAAGGAACUAGGCAAAAUGGUGCCGUAACUUCGGGAGAAGGCACGCUGAUAUGUAGGUGAAGUCCCUCGCGGAUGGAGCUGAAAUCAGUCGAAGAUACCAGCUGGCUGCAACUGUUUAUUAAAAACACAGCACUGUGCAAACACGAAAGUGGACGUAUACGGUGUGACGCCUGCCCGGUGCCGGAAGGUUAAUUGAUGGGGUCAGCGCAAGCGAAGCUCUUGAUCGAAGCCCGGUAAACGGCGGCCGUAACUAUAACGGUCCUAAGGUAGCGAAAUUCCUUGUCGGGUAAGUUCCGACCUGCACGAAUGGCGUAAUGAUGGCCAGGCUGUCUCCACCCGAGACUCAGUGAAAUUGAACUCGCUGUGAAGAUGCAGUGUACCCGCGGCAAGACGGAAAGACCCGUGAACCUUUACUAUAGCUUGACACUGAACAUUGAGCCUUGAUGUGUAGGAUAGGUGGGAGGCUUAGAAGUGUGGACGCCAGUCUGCAUGGAGCCGGCCUUGAAAUACCACCCUUUAAUGUUUGAUGUUCUAACGUGGACCCGUAAUCCGGGUUGCGGACAGUGUCUGGUGGGUAGUUUGACUGGGGCGGUCUCCUCCUAAAGAGUAACGGAGGAGCACGAAGGUUGGCUAAUCCUGGUCGGACAUCAGGAGGUUAGUGCAAUGGCAUAAGCCAGCUUGACUGCGAGCGUGACGGCGCGAGCAGGUGCGAAAGCAGGUCAUAGUGAUCCGGUGGUUCUGAAUGGAAGGGCCAUCGCUCAACGGAUAAAAGGUACUCCGGGGAUAACAGGCUGAUACCGCCCAAGAGUUCAUAUCGACGGCGGUGUUUGGCACCUCGAUGUCGGCUCAUCACAUCCUGGGGCUGAAGUAGGUCCCAAGGGUAUGGCUGUUCGCCAUUUAAAGUGGUACGCGAGCUGGGUUUAGAACGUCGUGAGACAGUUCGGUCCCUAUCUGCCGUGGGCGCUGGAGAACUGAGGGGGCUGCUCCUAGUACGAGAGGACCGGAGUGGACGCAUCACUGGUGUUCGGGUUGUCAUGCCAAUGGCACUGCCCGGUAGCUAAAUGCGGAAGAGAUAAGUGCUGAAAGCAUCUAAGCACGAAACUUGCCCCGAGAUGAGUUCUCCCUGACUCCUUGAGAGUCCUGAAGGAACGUUGAAGACGACGACGUUGAUAGGCCGGGUGUGUAAGCGCAGCGAUGCGUUGAGCUAACCGGUACUAAUGAACCGUGAGGCUUAACC